AGUAGACAAGCAUACUACAAAGUAAAUGAUUAUAUAGAAGAUAAAAAUGCUUGGAGGCAAGCUGGUCCGGCUCCACAGGAUAACUAAUAAAACGUAGUAAUAUAACCAUGUUAUUUCGAUGUAUUCUGUACUUUAUACAAUUAUUGUAAAUGUGAGAGCCCUGUAAUUAACUGAAAUCAAAUUAGACUAGUAGAAUGCAUUUAUGUCAGCUUGGAGUUGUCAUGCUCACUCAAAGGUCUCAUUGGCGGUGGCACGGGCAUUGGAUCGCUCGAUUCCCUGCAACAUGGUUGAGUUGGGCGGUGCUGGUGUACGUGUCAUGUUCGUGAACGGGCGCUGUCAACUGGGACUGGUCAGCUCCGGACUAGAGAAUACAAUCCCGGGAUCCCGAAUCUCGGGAUCCCGGGAUCCCGGCCGUUUUCUUGUCCCGAAAAUCCCGGGACUGUACUUGGCUAAUCUCGGGAUUUUUAGGAUUGACAUUAAAGGAAAAGUUACAGCUGGAAAUUGAUAAGAGUAUGAAUUCCCCAGAUCCUAAAGUACAAAUACAAAAUGAAUCAGGGUUGGCAAAUAGUAUUAGACCGUUAGACGUGAAAUGAGCCUGUUCGAAAAUGGAGGAACUCGUGGAUAUCACUUAGAAAUAGCAAAUAAAUAUCUAAUGUCUAUUCCUCCAACCAGCGUAGAACCUGAGCGAGCGUUUUCAGCUGCUGCUUAUAUUGGCAAUAAACUACGAAGCAGGCUUGGAAGUGAAACGUUGGAUGCUUUGAUAUUCCUGCGAUUGUAUUUUCGAAAUUCUAAUUAGUUUUUUUGUGUUGUCUUUUAAAUUUCUUGCAAAAGUAUUUUGAUUGUUUUGUCAAUUUUCGUUUCGUACUGUAUUGUGUUGUGAUGUGAUUUAUAUUGUGCAACGAUAUUAAAAUCAUUUUUUUAAAUAACUCAAGUUCUGUUUUCAUUUGAGCCCAAUUAGAAACCACAAAGUCUAAUCCCGGGAUAGCCCCGGGAUCCCGGGAUUACACAUUUAAAAUCCCGUAAUCCCGGGAUUGAAAAACAUGCUCGGGAUUGUAUUCUCUACUCCGGACUGCAUUAAUUUUUAUUGUCCUCUAGGUUAUUCUCUUUUUCUGUCACUUUGACUGUAUAUUAGUUUUACAUUGUUCUCACAUAGCUGAAGUAAUCGAAGAAUUGUAUUGUAAAUCUGAUUGAAAAAGAGUAACCUAUGGAGUUUCUUGCUCGUUCUUCUCCAUAGGAAUCUACACUUUGGAACGAGCAAAUAGCUUCACUAGAGGACUGACCGACAGACAGACGUUAUUAAUAUUAUUAUAUUUGCUUUGACGUUCAAAAGUGCCUUCCUGGUCUAUUUGAAAUAAAUGAUUUUGACUUUUGACUUUGACUUUGAAAUGUAAGCGUCCACAGGCCCGCAUCGUAUGCAUUGCACGCGUCGCGCGCAACGGAUUUUAGUUUGUCUUGUAUAGAAACUCUUACAACUGCGUCCACUGAUUCGCAUCGUACGCAUCGCACGCAACGGAUUUUAGUUUGUCUUGUAUAGAAAUUCAUACAACUGCGUCCACUGAUCCGCAUCGUACGGACCGUAUCAUCAGCAAUGCCUACAUGCGAUGCGUACUGAUGACGUCAUACGGAUUGCGUACGAUGCGGGCCUGUGGAAGCUUACUUUAACACCGAUCGUUGGUGGAGUGGUCGCAAUUGCGAUUGCCGGACAAAGGGUCUCGGGUUUAAUUCCCGGGUCGGGCAAAGUAUUACUGGGCUUUUUUGCGUUUUUCGAAAUUUUCUCAGUAGUAGCACGGAGUCUGGAAAUAUGGUUAGUGUAUGACAAUAGGCUCAUCCCCUAUUACAUGGGACUUGUAACACAAAUGGUGAAAAGUGGGUGUACAUUGCAUUGUGGCAUUACGUGCCUUAAUGUGCUCUGCCUACCCCUUCGGGGAUAAAAGACGUGACGUUACAAUCAUUACAAAUUUACAACCAUAAUCUCCACGCUUGGUAAAUAGGUUAGAGAUUGCAGUUUCCACCUAAUAUGGAGUUUCUUAGUUGACUCUUACAAUAUUUACCCGCUUGAAAGGUAGGGCUGAUGAUAAAUUACCAAAUAUACAACCUAUACCAACCAUUAUACUACAUAACUAAAACAUGGCAGUUAUAAUUAGGUACUUAAAACAGUAUUAAUUAAGAUUAAUUUUAUUUAGUUUCGCCUUUCUCCCAGUCUUCAAAAACAUAGUGACAUCUAUUGAAUUACAUUCGAACUACUAAAAGCUUUGUAACUGACAACUGUUGGUAAGAGACACUAUGCAAAUAAUUCUUUAUAAUUUACAGAGAUGGCGCUUAUAUAAAAUAUUUAUGUCGCAUUUUUCAAAUGCUUAGCUUGAGCCUAAUUAAUACCUACUAGAUAGUAGAUUCUAUUUUAGUUAAACUAUCUUUAAUUUAUUAAAUUUACAAUAUUAUUCCGUAUAAACAAAACUAUAAGUGUGGCCAAUUGAAUUAUCCGUCAGUCUGUCAGUGAAGCUAGAUGAUCGAACCAAAGUGUAGGUAGCUUCGAAUGGAAAAGAACGAGGAAGAAACUUCAUCGUUACUCUGUCAAAAUUGAUUUUGUUAGUUGUACCUAGUUCCUUGACGUUAUUAGUAACUUAUAAUGAACAAGUGGCGUCAUACAAAUAAUGGCGCAUUUACAUUAGUCGGUUAGACCGUAUUCGUCUGCAGGCCGUAUUCGGUUGCCAACUACAUAAUAUAAACAGGUAUUCGUUUGGCCGUAUUCGGUUUGGCCGUAUUCGGUUGGACCGAAUUAAUUCGGUUUCUGUUAAACCGAAUGCGGCCGCCGCCUUCGGUGACCGACCUACGACCGACCUAAUGUAAACGCACCAUAACACUCUUUCUUAAAAGUGUAGUUCUAAAAGCACCCGUGUGUCAUUGAAUUUGAUAGAUACCCUAGAUAUUUCUUGCUGUGGGAAGAUGCUGGACAUAUCGUAGACUGAGUUUCACACCAACGCAUCCAUCUUUUGGCUCUAAACAGUAGGACUGCAAUCCAACUGCAAUCCAACUGCAAAUUGCAGUUCAAAGGCAGUUUCAAUGCAGUUGACACGACUGCAAUAGGACUGCAAAUCAAAUGUGCACUGCAAUUCGAGCCUUUGAAAACUCGGCAUCACAAACCUUCUAUCAACCAUAGAACAAUGUCACUCAACAAUUUUGACGUUUUAAUGAAAAAAAAAGAGUACUUAGUCCAAAUUUUGAUCUAGAGGAUGUGCAUCAUCCGUGGAGUGUGUCCGUAAUGAGAAUAAGAGAGAAAGAGAUACCUUGUUGGGUGAAUUAAAAAUCAAUAAGCGCUUCGCUUCAAACUUCCUAAUGCGAACUGCUAGGGAGUGGAAUUCUUUGCCGAAGUCUGUGUUUCCUGAUGUGUAUAACCUGGGUGUCUUCAAAGCCCGAGUGAAUAGGUUGCUUAUCGGCAGACGUGCUCCAUCGUUGGCCGCAUCAUCACUUACCAUCAGGCGUGAUAGCAGCCAAACGUCGACCCAUCAAACAUCACACAAAGAGGUUGCUCCGUGCGGGAAUUGAACCCGCUACCCGUUGCGUGGCAGCCGGUUGCCCAGCCACCGCGUCAACGGUGCAGCUAAGUCACUUAUACCACGGAUAAUGCAUCCGUUAUUAAUUGUGGGACAGCCAAGCUUCGGCACGAAUGGGCCGGCUCGACCGAAGUGAUACCACGGCCUCACAGAAAACCGACGUGAAACAACGCUUGCGUUUUGUUUCGUUGUGUAAGUGACGUUUUAGACUCAAAUACCCCCAUUCCCAAUCUUCCCAAUUUCCGAAUCCCCAACAACUUAAAUUGAACGGCCCAAGAGGCCGGCAACGCACAUGUAAUGCCUCUGGUAUUUCGGGGAUCCAUGGCGGCAAUUGCUAAGCAUCAGGUGAUCCGCCUGCUCGUUUACCAGGUUUUACUAUAAAAAAAAAAAACGAAAAAUGGUUUGAUCUGAUCCCUGCCGCCUUUUCCUCAACGCGACAGUCCUUCCAUCCUUAUUAUACAGCGUGUAACAAAAUACCAGGAUGAUUUUCCAGAAAAAAAAAACACAAAAAGUUAACGACGUCAUUAUCCUCAACCAAAAGUUAACAAUUCUGCUGAUUGAAACACAAAAUUUGGUUUCAGUAAAUUAAGCUGUGACACUGUUUCAAAGUUUCAAAGUCAAAGCAUUUAUUUCAAUUAAUCCUUAAUUAGGCACUUUUGAAACGUCAACGUCUGUUCUCAACUAAUCCAAUAAAAAUAAGGAUGAUAAUAGGAUACCACGAUGCUUAAUAACGCGGGAGAAUAAUGAUUUGUUAAAUAAAAGUUAAAGUUUUUUGAAAAAUCACACACCUACUCAUAUACAUCAAGAAGCACUGAAGAAUACAGGUUGAAUAGAAUCUCUACACAAAGUUUCAGCUCAAAAUACGAUAAAAAAAAUUGGUACCAAAUACUUGUUGUCGCAUGUAUUUUUAUAUUUUUCUUAUACAGAGGUACCCGUGCCUAUUUAUCUACGUAAUACGUAAUAUUAUGUUACGUGGUAACGUCGGUAUUCUAAACACGAAUACCUUAGUACAAUAGGGUAGAUGACUAAUUUUUAUUUUAAUGGCCGUCUUGUAGAUUAUUUUAAAAUAUCAGACAUGUAUUUUUUAUUUUCUUACGGAAACAAAUACUUCCGAAAAUAUAUCCAUUUGAAAUAUCGCGUAACAUCACUUUUGAGUACGUUUUAUACUGAAUAGUGAAGUAGUUAGUUCCCAAUCCUAAACUUUGAUUCGUUUUAUCUAAAUAUUGUUAUCUUAUAUGACAAAACUAGCUGCUUCCACGCGGUUCCACCCGCCCUGCUUGGCUCCUAUUGAUCAUAGCGUGAUGUUUUAUAGCCUAUAGCCUUCCUCGAUCAAUGCACUAUUCAACACAAAAAGAAUUAUUCAAAUUGGACCAGUAGUUCGCGCGUUCAAACAAACAAACAAUCAAACAAACAAACUCUUCAGCUUUAUAAUAUUAGUAUAGAUAAAAAAUACGUGUCUAAUACUUUUUCAUUACCUAACUGGCGGAUUAAUUAGAGUUUUAAUUUUCAUACCCCGUGAUCGUCCCUAUUUACAUUAUUAUCCCUAUUACUGUUUAGUUACACGUAUGUUAUCGUACAUUACUCAAAUAGCAUUACUCGGCGGUCACGCCUGUGACCCCUCAACCAAUGAGGUAGUUAACUAUUUUAAUUUAACUUUGAGUAAUAAAUAAAACACAAACAGCAGCUGGUUAAUGUUUAUUGAUAACGUUACAGUAACACGUUUACUGGGCGUGUAAGCAAGAUUAAAACCUGACGCAGUCGCAGGGAGCCGCUGGAUGCAGGCCGCUUCCAACCGACCGCUCGAGCCAUUGGGGGAGGCGUAUGUUCAGCAGUGGACGACUUGUGAUCGAUGUGAUGACGAUGAAGAAGUUGAGUUUGAAACUUGUAAAAUUAGCUACUUGUCAGUCCUUCUGGUCGAUUUCUUGAUCUGAACGCCAGGUUUAAUCUGAAUCGUUUGUUUUUUU